AUUCGAAGGAAGCGGGCCUGCGACAUAUGUUCACCCACACUCGGGUAUCUCUCUCUCGUUCGAGGAACAGAUGGUGGUGGGAGACAUGGAAUGCGUCUCGCUAAGGAGCCAUAGGAGUUUGUGAAGUUGCUACAGGUUCUUGCCGAUAUAUAUGGCAAUGUUGUUCAUUUUGGUGAGCGUGACUGCACUGCAGUAUCCAGAGACGUAACCAAAAGCUUUGGGUACGGUGGAGUUUCUUUUGAACGAGAGAGGUUCCUUCUAUUUCAUGGAAAUGAAUUUGGGAGUUUCCAUGAUCCUCGACGUUUGAGGAUUUCAGAAACGUGGAAGUUGAUACGGUUUUCAUUGUGAAGCACGAAGAGGAGUUAGCAGCUGCAAGUACACCCUCCCUGACAUCAAAUUCCGAAUGUGGGUUUAAUAUAUAUAUAUAUGGUCGAAUCAUAGUGAUUCUAACGUUGGAAUGUUCUGUGUGGAAUGUGGAUGCAGCCUCAAGACAUCAAACUCAGCUGCUGCUGAGAAGCAAAUGACGGAAAAUGCCAUUUUUUUGGUUAAGUCCUUUUUGUGUUUCUGUGUUAGCAUUUUGCAGAGUCUCUGAACAAAAAUAGGAUGUUUCUGUUUUUUUUACAUUCGCUUUGGGAACUUUGUCCGCUGGUUUUG